UACGUAGGGGGCAAGCGUUGUCCGGAUUUAUUGGGCGUAAAGAGCGUGUAGGCGGCCAGACAGGUCCGUUGUGAAAACUCGAGGCUCAACCUCGAGACGCCGAUGGAAACCGUCUGGCUAGAGUCCGGAAGAGGAGAGUGGAAUUCCUGGUGUAGCGGUGAAAUGCGCAGAUAUCAGGAAGAACACCCGUGGCGAAGGCGGCUCUCGUGGGACGGUACUGACGCUGAGACGCGAAAGCGUGGGGAGCGAACAGG
rnacentral:rRNA from 1 species